UACGGAGGGGGCGAGCGUUGUUCGGAUUCAUUGGGCGUAAAGGGUGCGUAGGUGGCAUGGUAAGUCGGAUGUGAAAUCCCGGGGCUCAACCCCGGAACUGCAUUCGAUACUGCUGAGCUAGAGUACUGGAGAGGAGAUUGGAAUUUACGGUGUAGCAGUGAAAUGCGUAGAUAUCGUAAGGAAGACCAGUGGCGAAGGCGGAUCUCUGGACAGUUACUGACACUGAGGCACGAAGGCCAGGGGAGCAAACGGG
rnacentral:rRNA from 1 species